UAACAAGGAUUCCCCUAGUAACUGCGAGUGAAGCGGGAAAAGCUCAAAUUUAAAAUCUGGCAGUCUUUGGCUGUCCGAGUUGUAGUCUGGAGAAGCGUUUUCCGCGUUGGACCGUGUACAAGUCUCCUGGAACGGAGCGUCAUAGAGGGUGAGAAUCCCGUCUUUGACACGGACUACCAGUGCUUUGUGAUGCGCUCUCAAAGAGUCGAGUUGUUUGGGAAUGCAGCUCAAAAUGGGUGGUAAACUCCAUCUAAAGCUAAAUAUUGGCGAGAGACCGAUAGCGAACAAGUACCGUGAGGGAAAGAUGAAAAGCACUUUGGAAAGAGAGUUAAACAGUAUGUGAAAUUGCUGAAAGGGAAACGCUUGAAGUCAGUCGCGUUUGCUAGGACUCAGCCUUGCCUCGGCUUGGUGCAUUUCCUAGUAGACGGGCCAGCAUCACUUUUGGCUGCGGGAAAAAGGUCAGAGGAAUGUGGCACCUUCGGGUGUGUUAUAGCCUUUGGCUGUAUACCGUGGCUGGGAGUGAGGAACUCAGCACGCCUUCAUGGCGGGGCUUCGGCCACCUUCGUGCUUAGGAUGCUGGCGUAAU
rnacentral:rRNA from 1 species